rnacentral:lncRNA from 1 species
CGGGAGGCUCUGCGCGCGUCCGCUCUUGGGGCCACCCGUUCCAGAGCCACUCGCCAGGGCCAACCCGGAGCUCGAGACCCCGAGCUCGGGUGCGAGCAGGAUGCGGCUCCCCGGGGACGGUUGGCGCGGGUAGGAGUCCCGAAGCCCCGACCUUACCUCUGCUUCAUGCUGCAGUGUCCCUCAGCGCUGGCGUCCCAGUGGCCGGUCCGUGCCGCCCUGUCCCACAGGCCCGGCGACCGUGGAGAUUUUAGGUUGCCACCGGUCUGCUCUGGGCCCCAGAGCUUCUUCAGUACUUGCUGUCUAUAGUAAGCAUCUCAACACUUUAAUGUGCAUAUGGAUCACCGUGGGAAUCUUGUCAA